CAACGAUAGAUCAAGUCUGAAACAAAAUGCCCAUGCUUUGGGUCGUUGAGAGUAAUAAUUUUUAAAGUAAAUCCCAAAGUCUUUUGUUUCGUCGUCAUCUUCACACAUUGCAAGAAAGCACUCUAAGGAAUUCUGAAACUGACCAAUGUACGACAAGCUUUAUACACUUCCGACUGCUUAGUUAGAGAUUUAAUUUUAUUAAGAUUUUUUCUCCAACUUCUGUCUACAUGCCAGUUGCAAAACAAAAAAAAUCUAGACAUAGCCACUGUAUCAAUUCUAUUGCUUAAACAGAAUGCAACUGGGUAACCAGCUCCAAAUUCAUCAACUACAAGUAAUGUUAUGAGCUUAAAGUCAUGACUGGUUGUUUCAUGGGUGCUGUCAACGCAAAUUCUGUCAGUUGCAUAAGAGUAUGUAGUAUGUACUAAUAUUGCACACCCGAGCUGACGCCGUGUAACAAUCGAACGUAAUAAAAUUAUUAGCAUAAACUCAUAACUCAUAAUGAUAGGAUAUAAUGUAUGAAUUAUAUUAUAAUUUAAUGUAUUGUUAUUUGUUAAUAUUUUGAUCCGUAAAGUUAAUAAAUUAAACUGAAUAAUUUUUA